GAGGAUGUAGCUUAGAUGGUAGAGCACUCGCUUAGCAUGCGAGAGGUAUGGGGAUUGAUCCUCGCUUAUCCAUUCCA